GACGAACGCUGGCGGCGUGCCUAAUACAUGCAAGUAGAACGCUGAAGGAGGAGCUUGCUUCUCUGGAUGAGUUGCGAACGGGUGAGUAACGCGUAGGUAACCUGCCUGGUAGCGGGGGAUAACUAUUGGAAACGAUAGCUAAUACCGCAUAAGAGUAGAUGUUGCAUGACAUUUGCUUAAAAGGUGCAAUUGCAUCACUACCAGAUGGACCUGCGUUGUAUUAGCUAGUUGGUGGGGUAACGGCUCACCAAGGCGACGAUACAUAGCCGACCUGAGAGGGUGAUCGGCCACACUGGUACGGAGACACGGCCCAGACUCCUACGGGAGGCAGCAGUAGGGAAUCUUCGGCAAUGGACGGAAGGCUGACCGAGCAACGCUGCGUGAGUGAAGAAGGUUUUCGGAUCGUAAAGCUGUGUUGUAAGAGAAGAACGAGUGUGAGAGUGGAAAGUUCACACUGUGACGGUAUCUUACCAGAAAGGGACGGCUAACUACGUG
rnacentral:rRNA from 1 species